CGAAGGGGGCGAGCGUUGUUCGGGUUUACUGGGCGUAAAGGGCGCGCAGGCGGUCGUUUUUGUCGAGUGUGAAAGCCCCGGGCUUAACCUGGGAACUGCGCUCGAAACGGGAUGACUAGAGAUCGGGAGAGGAGAGUGGAAUUCCCAGUGUAGAGGUGAAAUUCGUAGAUAUUGGGAAGAACACCGGUGGCGAAGGCGGCUCUCUGGACCGAUACUGACGCUGAGGCGCGAAAGCGUGGGGAGCAAACAGGAUUAGAUACCCUGGUAGUCCACGCUGUAAACGAUGUGUGCUAGACGUUGGGGAGCCUAGCUCUUCGGUGUCGCAGCUAACGCGGUAAGCACACCGCCUGGGGAGUACGGCCGCAAGGUUA
rnacentral:rRNA from 1 species